rnacentral:misc_RNA from 1 species
CUCUACCUUUGCUUCGUAGCAACCGAUGAAAACAUCCAAGGGCGCCUGGGUUCAUCUUUGAAGGUAGGAGCCAGCACAGUACCCAGAGGAAUGGACCAAACAAAGCGACCACUACAAAUUCCUCCUGAAUUUUCGACAUAUGCAGAAAAGCAUGGGAUUUUUGACUUAUACAAGAGACUGAUGGAGCAACUGAUCAUUAACCGCCCCUCAGACCCUAUUGCAUUUCUGAUAGAAAUGCUAAAGCUUGACAACAAUGAUGUCCCACAGAUAAUGAUACUGGGGCCACCAAUGGCAGGUAAACACAGCAUCAGCAAGAUGGUUUGUGGAAGGCUACGUACAGCACACAUUACACCUGAUAAUCUGGUACAAGAGGCUGAUUUGAAACUUCGUGACAAAGCUGAAGAAUACAUUAAAGCCAAGAAACCCAUUCCAACUGAAGUGUGGGUGUCAAUCCUUCAAGAGCGCAUGAAGCUAUUUGACUGCGUCAAAAAAGGAUGGGUUUUAGAAGGAUUUCCACAAACACGACAAGAAGCACUUGCACUGCAGGAGCUUGGAAUCUACCCAAAGCACUGUGUGGUGCUGGAUGCCCCAGACACAGUACUGAUAGAACGUGCAGCAGGCAAAAGGAUCGACCCCAAAACUGGAGAUGUUUACCAUACAACAUUCGACUGGCCAAAUGCUACGGACAUCCAAGCAAGACUGGAAGAGGGUCCUGGCCAGAGUGAGCCAGAGAUGGUGGACAAGCUUGUGAAGUACCACCGGAAUGCUGACGGAAUUCUUCGCUGUUACAAUUCUGUCAUCAAAGUCAUAAAUGCUGAUCAACCCAAGGCAGAUGUUUUCUCACACGUGAUGGUAUUCCUUCAGAGUCAGCCACGUUCUAACACACCUCGCACCCCCCGCAUCAUCCUUUUGGGCCCCACAGGGGCAGGCAAAGGUGUCCAAGCUUCCCUGUUGGCCAAUAAGUACAACUUUGUGAAAGUAUCCUGUGGCCAGCUCAUUAAACAGGCCAUCACCAGAGAGACAAAGGCUGGAAUGGCAGCCAAACCAUAUGUGGAAAAGGGCAUGAUAAUGCCUGAUAACAUUGUAUUGAACAUACUGAAAGAACGUAUGUGUCAGUUGGACUGCCAGACACGUGGUUGGGUUCUGAAAGGCUAUCCUUAUACACGUGAGCAGGCUGAACAACUUGAUAAGGCUGGACUAGCCCCAAACAGAGUUUUUUUCCUGGACAUUCCUAAUGAUUCCGUCAUCGAGCGUUUAACCCAAAGAGCCGUCGAUCCUGUCACAGGGGACCAGUAUCAUAUGUUGUACAACCCUCCACGUACCCAAGAAAUUAAGGACAGGCUGGUUAAGCAUCCUAAGGAUUCUGAAGAAGAGGUACGCAAGCGACUCAUGCAGUACCAUGCUUAUGUUGAGGAGCUUGUGGAUUAUUAUGUUGAUGCUCAACAUAUGAUUGCUGACCAAGACCCACAUACUGUAUUUGAAUACCUGGAAAGCAUGACUGUCAAACCUCUGCCUCGGCACUACUGAGAAAUGAUGAAAUACCUUUCUGUCACACUUAGAAAAAUGUGGAAAGCAGACUGAAGGCAGACCUCUAUAUGGUCAUCGUUUUAUGUUAUAAAUACACUUAAAAUAACUUAAUCAUACAGGGAGAUGUAGAAACAUGCUAAAUUUUGUAUCACUUUGCAGAUGAUAAAACUUCAAAAUAAAGAUUUUGCAC